rnacentral:rRNA from 1 species
GACAGAGGAUGCAAGCGUUAUCCGGAAUCACUGGGCGUAAAGCGCGUGUAGGCGGCCCAUUAAGUCUGAUGUGAAAGCCCGGGGCUCACCCCCGGAAGUGCAUUGGAAACUGAUGGACUCGAGUCCCGGAGAGGAGAGUGGAAUUCCUGGUGUAGCGGUGAAAUGCGUAGAUAUAAGGAGGAACACCGGUGGCGAAGGCGGCUCUCUGGACGGUGACUGACGCUGAGACGCGAAAGCGUGGGGAGCAAACAGG